rnacentral:tRNA from 1 species
GCCCGGCUAGCUCAAUCGGUAGAGCAGUUGACUCUUAAUCAAUUGGUUGGGGGUUCGAGUCCCCCACCGGGUA